rnacentral:rRNA from 1 species
CACUCCUACGGGAGGCAGCAGUGGGGAAUUUUGGACAAUGGGCGAAAGCCUGAUCCAGCAAUGCCGCGUGAGUGAAGAAGGCCUUCGGGUUGUAAAGCUCUUUUGUCAGGGAAGAAACGGUGAAAGCUAAUAUCUUUUGCUAAUGACGGUACCUGAAGAAUAAGCACCGGCUAACUACGUGCCAGCAGCCGCGGUAAUACGUAGGGUGCAAGCGUUAAUCGGAAUUACUGGGCGUAAAGCGUGCGCAGGCGGUUUUGUAAGUCUGAUGUGAAAUCCCCGGGCUCAACCUGGGAAUUGCAUUGGAGACUGCAAGGCUAGAAUCUGGCAGAGGGGGGUAGAAUUCCACGUGUAGCAGUGAAAUGCGUAGAUAUGUGGAGGAACACCGAUGGCGAAGGCAGCCCCCUGGGUCAAGAUUGACGCUCAUGCACGAAAGCGUGGGGAGCAAACAGGAUUAGAAACCCUAGUAGUCCCAU